rnacentral:rRNA from 1 species
AUUGAACGCUGGCGGCAUGCCUUACACAUGCAAGUCGAACGGUAACAGGUCUUCGGAUGCUGACGAGUGGCGAACGGGUGAGUAAUACAUCGGAACGUGCCCGAUCGUGGGGGAUAACGAGGCGAAAGCUUUGCUAAUACCGCAUACGAUCUACGGAUGAAAGCGGGGGAUCUUCGGACCUCGCGCGGACGGAGCGGGCGAUGGCAGAUUAGGUAGUUGGUGGGAUAAAAGCUUACCAAGCCGACGAUCUGUAGCUGGUCUGAGAGGAUGAUCAGCCACACUGGGACUGAGACACGGCCCAGACUCCUACGGGAGGCAGCAGUGGGGAAUUUUGGACAAUAGGCGAAAGCCUGAUCCAGCCAUGCCGCGUGCAGGAUGAAGGCCUUCGGGUUGUAAACUGCUUUUGUACGGAACGAAAAGCCUCUUUCUAAUAAAGAGGGGUCAUGACGGUACCGUAAGAAUAAGCACCGGCUAACUACGUG